CCUGUCUUCCAUCAGAGAAGUUAAAAAGUAAAGCAUUUGCUGCUCUUUAAAGCCUCCAUGAAUGGAACUGCAGUGGAGGUGCCUUCUUGUGCGGUGAAGGAGGAGCGGAAGAGGAAAUGUAUUGGGGAGAAGUGGGAGAAAGCGGGAGAAAGGAAGGCAAGAGUGACCGGAAGUUGGUUCAUCAACGGCAGGAAACAAAAUGAUGCCCAGAGACAGUUAAAGGGGCAGAGAAAAGGGAGGAUCUAAUGGCGAAGAAACUGCGCAGCCAAAAAAAGGUGCUUAAAAGAGAUUUGCAUAAAGAGUGAAUUAGGCUGCAAUCCAAUUCGUAUCUACUCAGAAAUAAAGCUCCAUUGGGUUCAAUGGAACUCAC